UACUGAUUCCCGAAGGGUGUUUGUUCCCGCCGGGAUGAGGGAAUGUAAAAAACAAACUGCACCCGGAGAAGUUCCUAACAAGUUGCUUUCGGACAGGGGUUCGAUUCCCCUCGGCUCCACCA
rnacentral:tmRNA from 1 species